CCUCCUGAUUGGUGGACAGCAGGACAGGCCAAUUAACAUUGCUCUCAAAUACUGUUUCUGGAAUAUUCUGGCCAGUUUGGCUUGGGCCCUUUUGGAGGUAGCCCCGUUGAGGGAGAUUCAAGGCAAAUUGACCAUAGAUGGGUACCAGACGGUCAGAGAGGGAGAGGGCAGUCGAAAAAGAAGACCUUUUCACCACUCUGUGGGCUCGGGAAGACCAAACGAACACCAGGACACUGGAUGACUGUGGAAGCACAGAGAAGUGGAGCUUCGAGGAAGAGAAAUGGCGGUGGGGAGAGGCUGAGGAAACAGCAUGGCAGCUGCCGCCCACCCCCAGAGGGUUUGGGGAAGGCCCUCCCUCUCUGCUCCUCUGCAGUUUUGGCCAGAUGAGGAGGUUUGGGGGAGGACAAAGAAGGUUUGGGGUCCUGAGGGUGGGAGGAGGUGAGCCCCUUCGCAGCUGUAUGUGUGUGGAAAGAGGGCAGUGGGCACUGGACCCCAGUUGGCUGCCUGGCUGGACACUAAAGGCUUUGGGAAGAGCCACUUUGGCUGUCAGCCCAGGUUAAACUCGUGGACUGUCUCACUGUGUGACAAGGCCCUAACAAGGAAGCUGGGUAACCAUUUUCUGGGAAAGACACCAAAAGGGAAGGGGCUUCUGGGGACAGGGCAGGAGAAUGCCCUGGGGGUCUAGGACCCUCCUCCUUCCUCCAGAAGACUGCUUCCCCCCCUUUGACAGUGGGGAAGCCAUUUGGAGGUCUGGAGCGGGCACCUCCCCCAAACCAAAGCCCCUUAAGAACAAAGGGCAGGUCGCCAUGCCAACCAGCAGGGGGACACAGACCUCACUCACUAAGCAGAAGGCUAGCCUAGUAUCUGAAGAAGCCACCCAAGGAGCCCCCUAGGCCUAGAAGAACACCAAGAUAACCUGGGUGUGCACAACAGGGAAUUCCACAUUUGGGUAUGACAUUCCAGGGUCCUAAUAAUAGCUCUGACAGGUGCUAGCUGGCACCACACUGAAACUAAACGGACUUCAUUAGCUGAAGUACAUGUAUCAAGGGCCUACCAUGUGCAAGGUACCUCAGUUUCCUUAUUUAUCUAAUGGCAGGACUGAACUGACCUUCCGAUCAUGACCAAAGAGCGGUUCAGAGCUCUGUUGCAAGCCUUAGAGGAUCACAGAAUGCCGAAGUCGAAAGAGACAGCUGGGACCACUGAGGCCACCAGAACACGAAGGCCAUCGAACUCAACAGCUGAAUACAGACUCGCCAUAGCUUCUAAAUCUAAAUUCUUUCUAAUGCUACAGUAAGCGGCCCACUACUAGAGUGAGCACUUCCAGGCGCCAAGUGGGAGCCAGAGAUGGUUCAGGGAGUGUGCCUAUGAAGCCUUUCCAAGAGCAAGGACUCCGUUGGGCCGGAAAAGCCGAAUGAAAAGUGGGCUUGCUCGGAAGGAGAAACAGACCUGGGAGAGAGGUCCGAAGUGUCCCCUUCGGUUGAUGCUAUUCCCACGGCCAGUCUCGCAAAGAGAAGCAUUUGUUCAGUGGUCCAAAGGAGGGAGGGAGGGCAGGGCUCUUCGUUCUAUCAAUGUUCAGUGGCAUGACCAAGGGCUCUGGGGAAGGGACGAGGCAGCACCUUGGAGAGGUGGGGGGACAUGGGUGCGGAAUGUUACAGUCUAAGCUGUCAGACCGUGGGGCGGCCGGGCUGGCGGGCUGGCGGGCUGGCGGAAGUUUUUCGUCAGUAGUCAGCAUCAAUACUUCACUGCGGCGGAGAAGGGUGCUAAAACCUCAGAGAAGGCGAGAAGCGGGCAAGUGGGUCCCCAGACGCUGCAGCGCGCGCCUUUGCUUUGCUUCGUUCUCGGAAGCAAGGUCCAUACUUGUCCUAGACAGACCGCUUGCCGGCUCUGGAUGAAGCAAAUGGGGUCAUGGAGAGUCGGACACUACUGAACAACGGUUGGGGAACCCAGGGCAGACAGGCUGCCACAGAUACUGGGGAGACAAAGAACAGCGGCAUGAAGACUAGAAGCCAGAAAUGGCUUCCCCUCUCAAUCCUGUCACAGACCAGAACCUCAAACAUCAAAAGGAGCAGGUGGAUCCCCACGGCA